rnacentral:lncRNA from 1 species
GGUUUUGCUUGGCUUGCUUCCUGUGCAAGUUAAGUGUGUGUGGCUUGCUCCCUGUGUGAGCCAUACUUAGGAUAGGUUGGCCCUUGUGCCAUUUAGCUAGAAACCUUAACUUAGGGAUGAUUUGCAUGAUAACAUCUAGGCUCGAGUCGUAGUCUCCCUAGUUGUGUCUCCCUCUGUUAUCUGGUUAGGCUAGGUCCUUUAUCCCUGCGUAGGGGAACUACAUCGCCC